UACGUAGGGUGCAAGCGUUAACCGGAAUUACUGGGCGUAAAGCGUGCGCAGGCGGUUGUGCAAGGCAGAUGUGAAAUCCCCGGGCUCAACCUGGGAACUGCAUUUGUGACUGCACGGCUGGAGUGCGGCAGAGGGGGAUGGAAUUCCGCGUGUAGCAGUGAAAUGCGUAGAUAUGCGGAGGAACACCGAUGGCGAAGGCAAUCCCCUGGGCCUGCACUGACGCUCAUGCACGAAAGCGUGGGGAGCAAACAGG
rnacentral:rRNA from 1 species